GCUUAACACAUGCAAGUCGAACGGUGUCUUCGGACACAGUGGCGGACGGGUGAGUAACGCGUGAGAAUCUGCCAUCAGGUCUGGGACAACCACUGGAAACGGUGGCUAAUACCGGAUGUGCCGAAAGGUGAAAGGUUAACUGCCUGUUGAUGAGCUCGCGUCUGAUUAGCUAGUUGGAAGUGUAAUGGACUCCCAAGGCGACGAUCAGUAGCUGGUCUGAGAGGACGAUCAGCCACACUGGGACUGAGACACGGCCCAGACUCCUACGGGAGGCAGCAGUGGGGAAUAUUGGACAAUGGGCGCAAGCCUGAUCCAGCCAUGCCGCGUGAGUGAUGAAGGCCCUAGGGUUGUAAAGCUCUUUUGUGCGGGAAGAUAAUGACGGUACCGCAAGAAUAAGCCCCGGCUAACUUCGUGCCAGCAGCCGCGGUAAUAC
rnacentral:rRNA from 1 species